ensembl:lncRNA
GUUGCAUGUACAGAAGUGAGAAAAGUGUUUUUGUGGAGUUUGACCUAUUUGAUACCCUAACAAUAUAUGAGAUGGAAGGAAAUGUAGCUGAGCAACCACAGCAGUUCCAGUCUCCAGACAGUGAUAUGCCAAGACAACCUAUGACAUCAGAGACCAUGGUCACAAUUAUGUCACUGAGAGCAUGCCUAAUCCUUUUACAUUAUCUGGCCCAUGCAUUGUCAGAAGGAUGACAAAAUGGUCUGCAUCCCAAAUGACUUUCCAAUCAAUGUAAUUAUUAUGUUUUCAGACUUCCAGCUUGACGCUGUAACAAGACAGCAGCAGGAGGACAGAGCUCCAUCCCCUGGGCUGAAUUCUGACCUGUUUGUGGCUCCCCAGGGGGUUAAAACCACCCCGAAAAGGUAGUGAAAUGGGGGAGAAGCCUGUUGAUCACAGGGGGAUGGUGGUUACCUCUGUUGAUCCAGGAAACUCCCUAAAUAACCAGUGGGCGGAAACAAGCAGCUGAAUAGUUGUCGGUAGCUGGCAAUAGAGAAGCGAUAAAUUAGUUAAUUAACAUAGUUACCAUUGGGUGAGAAAUAUUUUACUAUACUGCUUUAUGACUAUCCUUGGAUGAGACAAUCCCUGGAAUAGAAAUAGCAUUGGGAAGAGACACAAAGUAAACAAAAUUGGACACUAAUUAGACAUUUAAUUAUACUUCAAGGAAGGAAGAUUGGUAUUCGUUUGGCAUUAGAAACUUAAGAAAUCCUUCUCUUAAAAUCAUUAUUAGCUAAACAACUCUAGGAGAUAAACUUGUUAUGUUAUGGCUAUCCAAGCAUUGGUGAAAAGCCCAGAACACAUGACCUUGAAUACUCUAUGGUGGCCCUAGGCUGUGAAUCUGUUUAAACUCUCCUUUUUUUCUUCUCAGAACUGACUGAAACAUUGACAAAUUAAUCCUGGAAUGUCUAACAACGAAAAUUCAACUUGAAAUAUAUAUCUGGCUAAUGUGGACCUAUCUGGACCAAUAAAAACAUUUGAAUGUAUCCUGGACUGCUUCUG